ACCGCAUUCAGUAGAGGGACCGGUCUCACUCCGGCCGCAAGCGGUGCUUGACUCCCAACCUCCUGGUGGUCCCAUGCCCCCUCAUCCUCCUAGGCCGCGCGUAGGUUUGCCGCUGACGUCACUUCCGGUCGAGCGUGCUUACGCUUCCGGUGACGUCAGCGGACCAAUUCAGCCACGCGGUAGGACGGCGGCCAGACGCGGACUCCUGGCAGGUGAGCACCGUAAGCGCUCUCAGGCCAGGGGCCGCCUAGUCGGUCGCCGGAGGGGCUUUGGGGACAAUAUGCAACUUGCAAAUGUACGGGCGAGCAGGGCGGCUGUUUUUGAAACUGAUAGCGUGACAGGGGGGCGCAGGGUUCAAGGCAUUAGCAGGCGAGCAAAUGUUGAUAACAUAGUGAAUGAAAAUGCUUUACAAAGGAAUGAAAGCCUUACACAGAAUGUUAUGGUUAACCCUAUGGGAAUGAAUGCUAUUAACCCUAUGGAAAUGAAUGCUACCGAGACUAAUGUGCAAACUCGCAUUAACCCUUCAGGGCAAAACACAUUAACUAAGGCAAAUACAUUAACUAACGCUAUUAAUGUGCAAACGCAUAAUGUUAACCAAACACGCAACAUGCUUACAGUUGCUGCAGACGUGCACACACAUCAUGUCAGCACAAGUGUUGGCACUCAGCCAAGUGCAGAUAUCAUUGGUGUGAGUGCAAAUAGGAUGAUAUUAACUGAGGCAAAUGAUUAUGCAGCUAGGCCUAGCUCAGUUACUGCGGCUAUGAGCAGGGAUAAUACUACUAGGGAUUUGCAUGUGAGAAUGGCUGGUAUGAAUGCUGCAAAUGAUUCUAAUAUUGCUAAUAACAUUAAUGCUAUUCAUGCCCCUGUGCAAAUGGUUCCUGUGCAAAUGGUUCCUGUGCAAAUGGUUCCAGCUGAUAAUGUCUCUGUGCAGGGGGGUUUGAGUGGUCAGAAUGUGGCAAAUGCUGGCACUGCCCAGAGAGUGACUGAUGCUGCGAAUGUGGCACAAUCGGGAUUUGGGGCACCUCAGGUCACACCUGGGCUUCCCCUGGUUCAAGGGCAAAGUGCUCGCGAUUUUCUCUCUGUCUUGCAGGAAGUUUUGUCCGUGAAACAGAACGCAUCCGGCAUGUCAUCCACUGUAACAGCUUCCUCUUCCGCUGCAGCGGCCUCAUCAGCAGCAGCACAACAGGCGGUCCCAUUAACAACACAACAAGCACCAGCUCAGCAGGCCCCCUCUAUCGUCACUGAAGGUGUAACCUCGCUGGCUCCACAGACUACUCUAGCAGCAGCAGCAUCCGCAGCGGAGGCAGCCAACACAUCCUCAGCUGGAAACGGUGAGGCAUAUGCACCUAAUCACCCUAGGGAACACUUAUCUGAUUCUUCCUCUACUGACUCAGAGUUAAGCAGUGACACGUCUUUGGGCUUAAAAACUAAGGGGCAAAAACGCAUGUACAAGAUGCUUAAGGAAAUGAGGUCAGACAAAUUACAGAAAGAUCAGAGAAAUGAGGUAGUAACCACAGUAGCCACCGCCCAGCCGCAAACCACUUCAGCAGUGGCCAGCAGAAAAUUAGCUUUAGCUGGCGAUGCUUUGUCCUGCCCAAUUUUCUCUCUUCAUGGUCACCUGAAGAAGAAAUUGGUAAGGAGAAUUCAAGAGGGCAGAUAUGUUAAUAUUUUCGAACUCUCCCUUGAGGCGCAUAGGCAGAAAGAGAAGAGUGCGGAUGGCACAGGCCCUAAGAGAGUAAAGCGACCAGAGACAUUUGACGAAUGGCUCAAGUGUUUUCGGAUCCUUUCCUCUUGCUACUUAGAUAAAUUUCCAAAUCAAGGACAGGCGCUCCUUAAGCAUGCUGACACAAUCCAUUGGAUCUACCAGCACCAUAAAGAGGGAGUGUGGAGGGACUAUGAUUCCAAUUUCCGAAGGAAAAUGGAUGGCAACCCAGCGCUAGCAUUCGGGUCUCAAGAAAUGCAUCUGUGGUCCCGGCUAGGUGCUGAGAGAUCACCCUCCCCACCGUCAGGUAGCAGGGGCGCAGGGCCCCGCUUUCAAAGCAGGAGCAGGCGUAAGGGUAGGGAGUGCUGGGCCUUUCAGGAGAAGAGGUGCGAUAAGGGUGCAGCAUGCCUGUACCGGCAUGUAUGCAAAUUCUGCGGCGCGCCACACCCGGGAGCUGAUUGCUCCCGGAGAAAGGACACUAACACAGAUAAAUCAACAUCACGGCAACCCCUUGCUGCUAAGGGCGCCCACCCCGGUGAGGGUGGACGCUCUUGAGCUGUGGUUGCGCACAUAUCCUGACCGCCAAGCAGCAGGCUUGCUCUUGGCGGGGUUCAGGGAUGGUUUCGUGAUACCCACCAAUAAACCGGUGGUGGGUUCGCAGAAUCAUCGUAAUUUGAAAUCUGCCUAUCAAUACCCAGGGGUGGUCAGAGAGAAGCUAGCAAAGGAAAUAUCUCUGGGGAGGGUAGUAGGCCCCUUUUGUGCCCCUCCUAUGGAUAACUUGGUUAUCUCCCCUCUGGGGGUGGUCCCAAAGAAGGAACCGGGAAAGUUCCGCCUUAUACAGCAUCUCUCUUAUCCCAGGGGCCAAUCGGUCAAUGAUGCGAUUGCCCCGGAGCUUAGCACGGUUCACUACCAAUCAUUUGAUAACGCCCUUGAUCUGGUCCGUGGGUUCGGGAGAGGUGCCUUGUUGGCGAAGCUGGAUAUUGAAUCCGCCUUUCGUCUCCUUCCUUUGCACCCUUCAUCAUUUCACCUUAUGGGAUGUAAAUUUGAGGGAAAUUACUAUGUGGACAGAUGCCUACCCAUGGGGUGUGCCAUCUCAUGCUCUAUGUUCGAAUGUUUUAGUACAUUUUUACACUGGGCAGUAGCCAAAUUGGUGGGAGGGGACUAUGUAGCGCACUACCUCGAUGAUUUCCUCUUGGUAGGUGAGUGCAAUACAGACAGGUGUAGCCACCUUAUGGUUGAAAUGAGGAGUCUCAUGUCACAACUUGGAGUCCCUUUAGCAGUGGAUAAGACACAGGGUCCAUGUACUACUUUGACUUUCCUGGGUAUUGAGAUAGACACCUUGCAGAUGAUAUGCAGAUUGCCUACGGAAAAGGUACAAAAUAUGUUGGUUGCAGUUAGGGCGGCUGUUUCCAAAAAAUACAUAUCUUUGAGGGAACUGCAGUCCCUCUUAGGAUUGUUAAACUUUGCCUGUAGGGUGAUCCCAAUGGGCAGGGUUUUUAAUAGGAGGCUGGAAAGUCCCCUUAGGGGCAACCCCAGCGUGUCAAUGAAAAUACUUGUAUCGCAGGACAUGAAGGAUGACCUAAAAGUCUGGGAAGUGUUUUUAAGCCAAUUUAAUGGAAUUACUGUCUGGCGAGAUGCCCCGAUAUCUAGUCAGAUUCUGCAUCUAUUUACAGACGCGGCGGGGUCCCAGGGUUACGGUGCCUAUUUCCAAGGGGAAUGGUGCGCCGGACCCUGGCCUUUGGAAUGGAGUUCUACUCCCCUGAUCAGGAACAUGACCCUCCUUGAAUUGUUCCCUAUCGUCAUGGUGGUUGAGCUGUGGGGGCAGAGGUUUAGGAAUAGGGCGGUAAUAUUCUGGACAGAUAACUUAAGUGUCGUACAUUCCAUUAAUAGACUUUCUGCUUCCUCUGUAACGGUGGUUCGAUUGUUGCGGCAUUUAGUUUUGAGGUGCCUCCAGCUCAACAUUAAUUUCCAAGCAAGUCAUGUGCCAGGGGUGAAUAAUGUUAUAGCAGAUGCCCUAUCUAGAUUCGAUUGGGCUACUUUUAGACGAUUAGCGCCACUGGCGGCAGAGGCAGGGCUAACCUGUCCCGGUUUUCUUUGGCAGCUAGUGGACCAUGGCUAUCCUUAAUCCCAUUGGUCCGCUCAUCCCUCGCCCCAGCGACCUGGCGAACCUACGUUAGCCACUGGAAGGAAUGGGACCAAUUCUGCAUCACGCGGAGGGCGGAGUCAUCAGUCAGCUCUCAGGGGAUGCUGGGUGUACGCAAGGCUUCAACAAGGGUAUGGAUCGUGGGCCAUUCCUUCAUUCAUUGGGCGGCGAUCCGUGCUCUCACUAGGGUUGGGGGGCAGAAUUUGGGUUUCCCUGCAUCAAAAGCUUCCAUCCGUUGGCUGGGGUUUAAGGGUUUGUGCUGGCCCCAGCUCCCCAAUGUUCUCACAGAUGCCCAUAGACGGUGGGGUAAACCCCACAUUAUUCUAAUACAUUUAGGGGGUAAUGACAUGGGUGCCAUUCCAUCCCUCGAAUUGACCAAAAUUAUUCAGUCAGACUUAGGCUGGCUUAGGGCAUGGAUGCCGGGGGUAAUUAUAGGCUGGUCUAAUGUAAUAGCGCGCCGCCAAUGGCGAUAUAUGGGAUCCUCAGGCGCAGCCUAUAGGGUGAGGAAGAAGCUGAAUAGGGAUGUGGGCGCGGCCGUCACUGGUAACCAGGGCUUCGUGGUACGGCACGAUGCCAUUACAGCCGACAAGCGGGAGCUCUAUAGACCUGAUGGGGUUCAUUUAUCUGAUGUAGGGCUAGACUUAUUUUUAGGGGAUUUGUCAAAAGCUCUCGCUCCCUUCCUGUAAGUCAGGUCGGGUGGGUGGCGGCAAGUGAUACCUGAGAUGCUAUCCCUUGUGGCGGGAGGAUUGCGGCCCAGUAGCGGCGAACGGGGCGAGUGAUGGCCAGGCUGAUGAGGGUGGGGCUCGAUUACUUCAGUUAACUGGAGUGCCCCUCCCUCCGGGUAGGUAGGCCAGAAGAACUCGUAACACCCCUAGUAGCAUUUCCAUUUCUUGUGCAGAGUUUUUCUGCUGUUGCCUUCCAUUAGGCCGCUCUCCUCUGUAGUCCGGGGGGUUAGUCUUAGCCUCUCAUUUGCCGCCAUCUGUUGAAUUCUUAUCUGUCGGUUUAGUUAAUAGUUAAGCCUAAAGUUAUAGGUUAAUAAAUGGGACCAGUGAUGGUUCAUAAAUUUUACCCAAAUUACUUGUGUCUGUCUUUAUUUAAGGUUAGGCCCCGUGGGCCAGUUAAAGCACAGUUAUUACAAUUAUUAAGGUUAGGCCCCGUGGGCCAGUUAAAGCAUAGUUAUGUUUAUGUUUAUUGAAGGUUAUUUUUCCCCUCCCCUCUUCUGGGAUCGACAAGGUAAGCCUUUAAUCCCUUAAGUACGUGUAGAGCCAAUUAGGCUUGCAGCGACAUAAGGGUUAAGGCUGUCUGGGAGAGUGAAGUUAGAGGGAGUUACUGGUGUUUGCAACAAUGUUGCAGGUGUAGGGAGUGGCUUACCUUUCUUAUGCUGAUUCACUGCAUUUCCUGUUCCUCUUUGACCUUGGACAAGAAGCUGGCAAGUUGCCCGCCCUCCCACCCAUUUGCGGCAUGAGAGUUUAGGUAGGGUGCUAAGGCUGAGGUAGGGAUAGGUGUCCUAAUCUAUGUAAGCCCUUGGCUGUAGUUUUACCUCCCUCUGCGACUAACCGGCUUAAGCGGCAGGUUGUCUCAGAGCCUAUUGGAUGGUAGGUUAAAAGAGCACCCUAACUGCGGGAGGAUUGCGGCCCAGUAGCGGCGAACGGGGCGAGUGAUGGCCAGGCUGAUGAGGGUGGGGCUCGAUUACUUCAGUUAACUGGAGUGCCCCUCCCUCCGGGUAGGUAGGCCAGAAGAACUCGUAACACCCCUAGUAGCAUUUCCAUUUCUUGUGCAGAGUUUUUCUGCUGUUGCCUUCCAUUAGGCCGCUCUCCUCUGUAGUCCGGGGGGUUAGUCUUAGCCUCUCAUUUGCCGCCAUCUGUUGAAUUCUUAUCUGUCGGUUUAGUUAAUAGUUAAGCCUAAAGUUAUAGGUUAAUAAAUGGGACCAGUGAUGGUUCAUAAAUUUUACCCAAA